AUCAUUAUUUGUUAUUGUUGAUGGUUCUUUACUCCUCGCUACACUCCUGGGAGGUAGAGCUAACUUCCAGGUUGGCCUUUAUGUGGAAGUUAAUAAAGAUGUUGCAGGGGUGGGGGACCCCAACCCCAGCCUCAUCAACAAGUGAAAGGAGCAACUGAGACACGCAUUCCACUCAUCAGUCUGUCGUCGAUUGAGCCCAGAGGCACCCGUGACACAGCUCAGAACAAAUGCUCUGCUGGAAUGUGGACUGCCUUCCAAACGCACGCCACGCCUGCUCACGGGAACCACACUCUUUCCUUGCUCGGAUCAUUUGUGAGGUUUGAAACGUGUCCACAUGAAACACAGACUCUGCACCAUUUGCCUUCCCAUCAGCAUUCCACAGACUCGAUGUGGGUAUGGCGUGAC